AGAGUUUGAUCAUGGCUCAGGAUGAACGCUAGCGGCAGGCCUAAUACAUGCAAGACGAACGGUAAGAAUUGUAGCAAUACGGUUCCAAGAGUGUCGUACGGGUGCGUAACACGUAUGCAACCUACCUUGUACAGGAGUAUAGCUCGGGGAAACUCGAAUUAACCCUCCAUAAUAUAAUCGGAUGGCAUCAUUUGAUUAUUAAAACUACGGUGGUACAAGAUGGGCAUGCGUUUGAUUAGCUAGUUGGCGGUGUAAUGGACCACCAAGGCGAUGAUCAAUAGGGGAACUGAGAGGUUGAUCCCCCACACUGGCACUGAGAUACGGGCCAGACUCCUACGGGAGGCAGCAGUAGGGAAUAUUGGUCAAUGGAUGGAAGUCUGAACCAGCCAUGCCGCGUGCAGGAAGAAGGCCUUCUGGGUUGUAAACUGCUUUUGCCAAGGGAUAAAAAUUCCAUGCGUGGAAAAUUGAAGGUACUUGGUGAAUAAGCACCGGCUAACUACGUGCCAGCAGCCGCGGUAAUACGUAGGGUGCAAGCGUUGUCCGGAUUUAUUGGGUUUAAAGGGUGCGUAGGCGGCCCUGUAAGUCAGUGGUGAAAUACUCCAGCUUAACUGGAGGGGUGCCAUUGAUACUGCAGGGCUUGAGUCAAGUUGAAGUUGGCGGAAUUGACGGUGUAGCGGUGAAAUGCUUAGAUAUCGUCAAGAACACCGAUAGUGAAGACAGCUAACUAAACUUUUACUGACGCUGAGGCACGAAAGUGUGGGGAUCAAACAGGAUUAGAUACCCUGGUAGUCC
rnacentral:rRNA from 1 species